rnacentral:rRNA from 1 species
AUUGAACGCUGGCGGCAGGCCUAACACAUGCAAGUCGAACGAGGGGCGGAGGGGUGAGUAAUGUCUGGGAAACUGCCCGAUGGGGGGGGAGAACUACUGGAAACGGUAGCUUAUACCGCAUAACAUCGUAUGUGCCCAUAGGGGAUUAGCUAGUAGGUGGGGUAAAGGCUCACCUAGGCGACGACCCCUAGCUGGUCUGAGAGGAUGACCAGCCACACUGGAACUGAGACACGGUCCAGACUCCUACGGGAGGCAGCAGUGGGGAAUAUUGCACAAUGGGCGCAAGCCUGAUGCAGCCAUGCCGCGUGUAUGAAGAAGGCCUUAGGGUUGUAAAGUACUUUCAGCGAGGAGGCGUUACUCGCAGAAGAAGCACCGGCUAACUCCGUGCCAGCAGCCGCGGUAAUUC